CAGUCGCCGCGGUAAUACGAAGGGAGCUAGCGUUGUUCGGAAUCACUGGGCGUAAAGCGCACGUAGACGGUUUAUCAAGUUGGGAGUGAAAUCCCGGGGCUUAACCUCGGUAUUGCUCUCAAAACUGAUUAACUAGAGGUCGGUAGGGGAUAGUGGAAUUCCUAGUGUAGAGGUGAAAUUCUUAGAUAUUAGGAGGAACACCGGUGGCGAAGGCGACUAUCUGGACCGAUACUGACGUUGAGGUGCGAAAGCGUGGGGAGCAAACAGGAUUAGAGACCCCAGUAGUCCCUGUCUCUUAUAC
rnacentral:rRNA from 1 species